rnacentral:ncRNA from 1 species
GCGUGGGUCGGCCCGCUGCACUGGACUCAGCGGGCUGGGGGAGACCGCCGCUCCAAUCCCCGCGGGCGGCGAACCGGCCCGGGAGGUGACGCACACCUCCCGGGCCGUG